AUGAAUUGGACUCCGCCUAUGUCGGCAAUGAUGUUGAAAGGUCUUUCAGAGGUGGCGGAAAGAGGUGCCAAGACUAACAAAGGAUUCAAAGAGGCUGCAAAAUUGAAAGUUGCAAAGUGUAUAUGUGCUUUUGUUGGUUAUGACAUGUCUAUUACUCAAGUGCACAAUCAUAUUCGCAAGUGGCGGAAUAGGUGGACAAGGAUUGUUUAGUUGAAGAGUUUAAGUGGGGCACUUUGGGAUGAUGACAAGAAGAUGGCAGUUCUAGAAGAACAACACUAUUUGGGCCACACUCAGGUAUGCAUGCACAUUUAUCAACCCUUUUUGUCUGCUGAAGAUCAUCCAACAGAUGCUGAACUUCUCUAAUCCCCACUUGAGAACUACAACUAUAUGGAAAAUUGCUUUGCUAAUAAGCAAGCCACCGGGAAUUAUGCAAUGGCCACCGGUGUGGCACUGGAAACGCCUAUUGUUGUGGAAGACAAAGAUAAACCCAAUGUCAUGGAGGGGCAUGGAACAACUGAUGAGGUAUUACAACAUCUUCCUGGGUCUAGCUCUGUACUUCCAACUACUAGUGCCACUCAGGACCCUUCACCUACUUCAAAUAAGAAGAGAAAGAGGGCAUCAGGUUUGACUGAGGAGGACACAAUCCAGUGCAGCAACAUGACUGAUGCUAUGCGUGAGAUUGCAAGUGCUAUCAACAACACUUGCCAUGCUGAAACACACCCUGACUUGUACAAGGCUGUCAUGGACCUUAUUGUGUUUGAUCAAAAUGAUCGCUUGGCUAUUCUAGAUUAUCUCACAAAACAUAAGGCAAAAGGCCUCGACUUUGUGAAGAUGAAUGAUGAAGUCCAUAAAGCAUCGUUCAAACGUACCUUGAAAGCCAAUCCUUAUCUUCUUUGA
rnacentral:rRNA from 1 species